AAAAAAGAGUAAACAAAAAGAAAAUAGUAAACGCUUAAUCCAAUUCAAGAAACAAAGUGAAACGCAUGCUUUGAUGGAUAUAUAAUCUUCAUGAUCACCAAGUUUUGUUAGCAAUAAGAGGUUCGACCUUCAUUGAUGGAGCUUUAACAUUACUAAACUCACAACUAACUGCAAUAGCAAUAUCAUCAGUUAGGGCGUCUUCAGUCUCACAACUAUCUGUAAUAGAAGCAUCAUCAGAUAGAGCGUCUUUAAUGUCUUCAUUAUUUUGUUGAAUAUUCAACUUACUUCGUGAUGCUUGGAUCCCUUCUAACUCCAUUGCAACUUCUUGCAUUGUAGGUCGUUUCUUUCCACUCAAAUUUAAGCAUCUUUUUGCAAGAUUAGAAACUUCAAUAAUUUCUUCUUCAGGGCAGUGCUCCACAAUGCGAGCAUCAAUGAUAUCAAAGACUUUAUUCUCUUCCAUCAAAAGAAUAA
rnacentral:misc_RNA from 1 species